UGAAUGGAUCAGCGUGAUUGAAAUACCU
rnacentral:piRNA from 1 species